CCUACGGGGGCAGCAGUGGGGAAUAUUGCACAAUGGGCGCAAGCCUGAUGCAGCCAUGCCGCGUGUGUGAAGAAGGCCUUCGGGUUGUAAAGCACUUUCAGCGGGGAGGAAGGCGGUGAGGUUAAUAACCUCAUCGAUUGACGUUACCCGCAGAAGAAGCACCGGCUAACUCCGUGCCAGCAGCCGCGGUAAUACGGAGGGUGCAAGCGUUAAUCGGAAUUACUGGGCGUAAAGCGCACGCAGGCGGUCUGUCAAGUCGGAUGUGAAAUCCCCGGGCUCAACCUGGGAACUGCAUUCGAAACUGGCAGGCUAGAGUCUUGUAGAGGGGGGUAGAAUGCCAGGUGUAGCGGUGAAAUGCGUAGAGAUCUGGAGGAAUACCGGUGGCGAAGGCGGCCCCCUGGACAAAGACUGACGCUCAGGUGCGAAAGCGUGGGGAGCAAACAGGAUUAGAUACCCGUGUAGUC
rnacentral:rRNA from 1 species